rnacentral:rRNA from 1 species
AUUCCAGCUCCAAUAGCGUAUAUUAAAGUUGUUGCAGUUAAAAAGCUCGUAGUUGGAUUUCUGGUGGGAGCGAUCGGUCUGGCGCUUAGCGCGAGUACUUGCAUCGUCUCCGGCCAUCCUUGGGGAGAGUUUGUCUGGCAUUAAGUUGUCGGGCAGAGGAUCCUCAUCGUUUACUGUGAAAAAAUUAGAGUGUUCAAAGCAGGCUUAUGCCGUUGAAUAUAUUAGCAUGGAAUAAUAAGAUAGGACUUUGGUACUAUUUUGUUGGUUUGCGCACCAAAGUAAUGAUUAAUAGGGAUAGUUGGGGGCAUUAGUAUUUAAUUGUCAGAGGUGAAAUUCUUGGAUUUAUGAAAGACUAACUUCUGCGAAAGCAUUUGCCAAGGAUGUUUUCAUCA